GCACCCAUAGCUUAAUGGAUAGAGCAUCUGACUACGGAUCAGAAGGUUGGGAGUUCAAGUCUCUCUGGGUGCG
rnacentral:tRNA from 1 species